rnacentral:misc_RNA from 1 species
UUUCCGUAGGUGAACCUGCGGAAGGAUCAUUAACGAAUCGAGGGUGCUGCUGUCUGGUUGGGGGUUGUUGUGUGUGGGGGGGGGGGGGAAGUGAGGGGGUGUGCUUUAGGGCGCGAUUUCUGACGGACCUGCCACAAUUACGGCUACAACCAGAGGCACGCUACAAACGCCGAGCUGGGUGGAAGCCUGGCUCUGGUCGGAUCGAUCGGGUAUGGGAGCAAUAUUGUUUUGUUGGGAGCGAUUAAUGUUGCUUCUGGCAGGGAUUAUUGCCGCAGAGCCGAUCCACAACCAACAUGAACGCUUGAUUGUUUGUCAGUAGAGUAAAAAGAUUAAAAAAUACAACUUUUAACAAUGGAUCUCUUGGCUCUU